GAUGAACGCUAGCGGCAGGCUUAACACAUGCAAGUCGAGGGGUAUGCCGAUUUAUCGGCAGAGACCGGCGCACGGGUGCGUAACGCGAAUGCAAUCUGCCUUUCACAGAGGGAUAGCCCAGAGAAAUUUGGAUUAAUACCUCAUAGUAUAGUAAGUUGGCAUCAACCUGCUAUUAAAGUCACAACGGUGAAAGAUGAGCAUGCGUCCCAUUAGCUAGUUGGUAAGGUAACGGCUUACCAAGGCUACGAUGGGUAGGGGUCCUGAGAGGGAGAUCCCCCACACUGGUACUGAGACACGGACCAGACUCCUACGGGAGGCAGCAGUGAGGAAUAUUGGACAAUGGACGCAAGUCUGAUCCAGCCAUUCCGCGUGCAGGAUGAAGGCCCUCGGGUUGUAAACUGCUUUUGUACGGAACGAAAAGGUCUCUAUUAAUACUAGGGGCUCAUGACGGUACCGUAAGAAUAAGCACCGGCUAACUACGUGCCAGCAGCCGCGGUAACAC
rnacentral:rRNA from 1 species